GACGAACCGUGCGACCGUUAUUCGGAAUCACUGGGCUUAAAGGGCGCGUAGGCGGGCCGAAAAGCCAGGGGUGAAAUCCUCCAGCCCAACUGGAGAAGCGCCUUUGGAACUGGCGGCCUCGAGGGGUGCAGGGGCAUGCGGAACUCAGGGUGGAGCGGUGAAAUGCGUAGAUAUCCUGAGGAACACCGGUGGCGAAAGCGGCGUGCUGGACACCUUCUGACGCUGAGGCGCGAAAGCCAGGGGAGCGAACGGG
rnacentral:rRNA from 1 species